rnacentral:lncRNA from 1 species
AGACAACCUGUCCAAAGGACUUCUGAACCCAACUGGAGGAGGGUCUCUGUGUCCAAAUCCCAGAUUUCUGGGCAAAGACAUUUUUCCAAUGGAUUGGCUACCCAGUCUACUUCUCUUCCCCAGACAGUUUUAAAUGAUGCCAGCUGUCAACAGCUCCACACACAGCUCACCCAGCGUCUGGAAGAGUUACUGUGUGACAGGGAGCAGGAAAUUCAAUCAGUGAAAAAGCAGGUUUCAAACAAGCAGAAGGGGAAUGGAGGGCGAACAAGGAAGGCACCAAGAGUCAAGGGGACAGCGCAACAGCAAGGAGAAGAUAUGCCCUACAAACCCCUAAAGCCAACUGUAGCGAAGAAUGGCACCACAGCACCAAAUGUGGAGGAGGGGGACCGCAACAGAGGGUUACCUAUAAAGGCUAACAGUACAGAAAAUGGCAAGGCGAAGAAGUCUGAAGCAGCAGCGUUCACAGGCAGGAUGAUGUCGUUCAUUUCCAACCAGUACAAAACUGCGCCUCUUGGUGUCACUGAUCCAGGCUUUAUGCGCCGUUGGACUGCAGCAUCAGGGAACAGGUAAAGCAUAAGGUCACACUGGAUCAAUUUGAGAUCAUUGCUUGUUCCUUCCGUUGGAAAGCAUGUCAAUGUCUUCUUGCGUAAUGGAAUUUGUUUUACUUUUGCAGAUCUUAUCUGGAGAAACGUUGCUCUUUGACUUCUGUGGUCAGUACUGUCACUGCUGUGAUAAAUUACACUGUAUUUAAUAUAUUUGCUCUGAAUGUCCUUCUUUUAUCUAAAAGUAGUAAGGCGAGAAUUAUAGUUUGCCAAAAAAUUGUAGUAGAUAUAUACACACACAUAUACAAUCAUGUAUACGUUUUCAGCAAGU